UACGGAGGGUGCAAGCGUUAUCCGGAUUCACUGGGUUUAAAGGGUGCGUAGGCGGGCAGGUAAGUCAGUGGUGAAAUCCUUGAGCUUAACUCGAGAACUGCCAUUGAUACUAUCUGUCUUGUAUAUUGUGGAGGUAAGCGGAAUAUGUCAUGUAGCGGUGAAAUGCUUAGAUAUGACAUAGAACACCUAUUGCGAAGGCAGCUUACUACGCAUAUAUUGACGCUGAGGCACGAAAGCGUGGGGAUCAAACAGG
rnacentral:rRNA from 1 species